AUAGCAGGGACCAUGCUGAAUUCCUCUCCAUGCCUUGCACAAGGUCAGACGGAGAGCUGGUGCUCCAUACAGGUUGGUGAACGGAGACUGGAUUCAUUCAUUCAUUUGCAACUGCAAACAGGACGAGAGAUCAGACUUUCACAUGAAGCCAGCAGCCAGAGACCUUGGGAAGAGCAUGCCACGACAGCCCUUCCUCUGCUCCAGCUAAGUGGAUGCAACGAGCUAUAUGUGUUCAACCUGAAAAGCCGCGUCCGGGAUGGGGAACCACUGUUUACCAGGCCCCAGAUGCUGGGCUAAGCUCUGGCCUUCAUUAUCCUGUUUAAGCCUCACAACAAUCUUGUUGGGUAAGGGUUAUCAUCUCCAUUUUAAAGAUGAGAAAACUGAGAGCUGGAGAGGGGAAAAGAGACUAGUGCAAAGCCACACCUGUUGACCGUGUCAUGGUGGUCUCUGUGCUACUCAAGUUCGGGGCAAAACUGACUUGAAGUGCAAAGCCUUCCUUAGGUUUCUGCCAGUUCCCCAAUGGCCUUCCCUGUCGGGCUUCUCCUUCCUGGGGUCCAGUUUACUCAUGACAAGUCCACAUGCUGUCGCAUGUGCCCCAGACCUGGCACUGCUCCUUCCCACUGCAGCAGGGGCUGCCGGGUACCUGCCGCCUCCCCCAGGAGUGGCAUCCUGAGCAUGGGGUC
rnacentral:lncRNA from 1 species